UUGUGAGAAAGACUGUAACACUGGCGUUUGUGCUAGCCACUUUUGUGCGGAUGGCAUGGGGCCUACUGAAGGCUACUGCACCCCAGGUGCCAGGGGUGGGGGCUUUUGUAGUCUACUUCGAAAACAUGUGGAUGUAUGGGCAGUACCCUCCGUUAACAUUGAACCAACAGGGAAACCUUGGUGCAUGGACAAAUAAUGCAAUGGAAUCGUGGCAGCAUACAUACAUUGAGUUUUGCAGCAGUUACCUGUCUUCACAAACACAAGCAGCUGUACGUAACAAUGUUCCCUCCCAGCCUCUGUGUACCUCUAUAGGAGUCCCACAGAGCUCAGUUCACUUGUUACAUCCCAAACUGAGAUUGACGAGGGAGAAGGAUUUAGACAACUCCAAUCUUAGGAAGAUCAGUAAUGUAUAUGGUCACAAGUCUGCAGCAUUUCAAGGAGAAGAUAUGGGAUUCUGUAGACACAAAUAGAGUGCAUAAUAUUAAACCUGCCC